rnacentral:rRNA from 1 species
CCUACGGGUGGCAGCAGUGGGGAAUAUUGCGCAAUGGGCGAAAGCCUGACGCAGCGACGCCGCGUGGGGGAUGAAGUUCUUCGGAUCGUAAACCUCUGUCAGCAGGGAAGAACGGUCACUGUGCUAAUCAGCAGUGAAUUGACGGUACCUGCGAAGGAAGCACCGGCUAACUACGUGCCAGCAGCCGCGGUAAUACGUAGGGUGCGAGCGUUAAUCGGAAUUACUGGGGGUAAAGCGCUCGUAGGCGGUAGGUCAAGUCAAGGGUGAAAUCCCCGCGCUCAACGUGGGAACUGCCUUUGAAACUGGCAAGCUGGAGUGUGUGAGAGGAUAGUGGAAUU